UUUAAAAAUUAUUUUAAAUAUUUUAAAAUGUGCUACCGAGUUUGGAGCACCAGGAGCAUGAGGGGAAGUACUAGAUAUUUCCCCCUGGGCGAGGUGGGUGGCGGCGCUGCUUCUUUCUAGAGCAUGGCGGCGUGCGUCUUUGUGGUCGACGGGAUGUGGUUUUCGGCUGUGGCUUUGGUGGCUUCGUCGGGGUCUUCGGUGGUUCUUCUUCGUCGGACUCGGGUCCGGAUCUGUUGUUGGCGUUUUCUUCUUCCUCUACAUCAGAUCUUCUUUCUCUGGCGGCGCUUGUGGGAGAGAAGGAGAGGGGCAGCAGACAUUCUUGCCGUGCUUCGUUGUCGGUGUGGCCGCGGGGAGGGUUGCCCUGUCGUUUCGUCAGCUGAUAGGAGUGUGUUGCCAUGCCUCUGGAUGGCCGCCUGCCGGAUCCACGCAGGCCAUAUCGGCUUCUUCUGCUCCACAACAGUCCCCUUGGUCUCUCUUUGUCUCCCCAAAUCACGGACGUUGCGUCCUCCCGGCAGUCUCCACCAUUAAUCUCCGCUUGCCGUCCAUGUCGUCUCCGUCGCCGCCGCGUCUUGCAGACUGGCGCAUCCCAGCAGCCAGUUUCUCCUCCCAUCUAUGGCGCCUCCAGCUGCUCAAAUUCCCUCCCUCAGAAUUGGCGGAUGUGAAUUUGAUUCAUGCCAAAGUGUGGUCGCCUUAGAUACGGUCAAUGCUGUUGGUUCUGUCCACUGAUGAAAGCAUUAUAUUAGGUUGGUUGAUUGCAAGGUGAGUGUACAUACUUCUUUUCAUGAUCUUUUGAUGAGUGGUUGUUUGUCAAUCAUGCAAAAAGUGCAUAAACAAAGAAACGGAAAUGCAAAAGUGACCCUCAGUCCUUGGAUUUAACAAAAAUGUAUGCAUGCUUGGCUAUGUAUUUGCUGCGUGAGCAAACAUAUCAGAAAAUAAAUGAAAUCACAACAAUUAUAUUCUUGA